GACGAACGCUGGCGGCGUGCUUAACACAUGCAAGUCGAACGAUGAACCGGAGCUUGCUCUGGGGAUUAGUGGCGAACGGGUGAGUAACACGUGGGCACCCUGCCCCAGACACCGGGAUAACCAUUCGAAAGGAUGGCUAAUACCGGAUACGACCACUUCGGGCAUCCGAUGGUGGUGGAAAGGAUUCUGGUCUGGGAUGGGCCCGCGGCCUAUCAGCUUGUUGGUGGGGUAAUGGCCUACCAAGGCGACGACGGGUAGCCGGCCUGAGAGGGCGACCGGCCACACUGGGACUGAGACACGGCCCAGACUCCUACGGGAGGCAGCAGUGGGGAAUAUUGCGCAAUGGGCGAAAGCCUGACGCAGCGACGCCGCGUGAGGGACGAAGGUCUUCGGAUUGUAAACCUCUUUCAGCAGGGAUGAAGCGAAAGUGACAGUACCUGCAGAAGAAGCACCGGCUAACUACGUGCCAGCAGCCGCAGUAAUAC
rnacentral:rRNA from 1 species